AAUAUUUUUAAAAUGUUAUAAUUAAUUCUUGCUGCUUACAUGUUGAAAGUUAUUUUAGCUUUUUUUCUACAAUAGAAUUUCGACGAAAAUAUCAAUUUCUGAUACAAAUCAAAAGAAAUUGACAAAAUGAAGGGUGGAUUAAAAGUAACAAAAAGAAAAGGUCCACGAACGAGGUCCCAGACACGCGGUAGAAAAAUUAAAUUUGCAGAGCUAAAAUUUGCCAAUAAAAAGGCCAAGAAGCAUAAUCAUCUAGCCAAAUCUAACUCGGAACACAUUGAACAUGAUUUAGAUCAAAAAGAUCACGGAAUUAUGGGAUGGCUAGUUUCUUUCAUAAAGCAAGUCACUCCAGCAGAAUAUAAAAAAGGAGACAUAUUUUUUGAAAAUAAGUACAUGUUAUGAAAAGCUAAAUCAAGAAUGACAGGGAACUUAAUAAUAUAUAAAUGUGUACAACAAUCUCAGUCAAUAGACACAUUAAAGAAGUUUAAAGAGGUUCUGGAAAAAGUAAGUUUAUGUGACCCAAGUCUAAAAGUCCCAAAUUGUGCCUCACUGAAAACAUACUAUAGGGCAUUCUGGAACACACCAGUAAUUAUAAGAAUUCAAGCAUCAUAUUGGCAUCAUUUCAGUUUUCGUUCAAAUGGUGUAUUUUAUCAGAUACCUUCAACUAAGUUCCAUAUCAUUUUGGUUUGCCAUCAAUAAAUAAAGUUUAUUAGUCCAC